rnacentral:rRNA from 1 species
UACGUAGGUGGCAAGCGUUGUCCGGAUUUAUUGGGUUUAAAGGGUGCGUAGGCGGCCUAUUAAGUCAGUGCUGAAAUAUCCCGGCUUAACCGGGAGGGUGGCAUUGAUACUGAUGGGCUUGAGUAAAGUUGAGGUAGGCGGAAUUGACGGUGUAGCGGUGAAAUGCUUAGAUAUCGUCAAGAACACCUAUUGCGAAGGGAGCUUACUAAGCUUUAACUGACGCUGAUGCACGAAAGUGUGGGGAUCAAACAGG